rnacentral:misc_RNA from 1 species
GAUGAAGAACGUAGCGAAAUGCGAUACGUAAUGUGAAUUGCAGAAUUCAGUGAAUCAUCGAAUCUUUGAACGCAUAUUGCGCUCUCUGGUAUUCCGGAGAGCAUGCUUGUUUGAGUAUCAGUAAACACCUCAACUUCCAUAUCUUUUUUGAAAUGGGAGUUGGACUUGAGUGAUCCCAACGCUUUUCUUCACCGAAAAGUGGCGGGUUACUUGAAAUGCAGGUGCAGCUGGACUUUUCUCUGAGCUAUAAGCAUAUCUAUUUAGUCUGCCUAAAAAACAGAUUAUUACCUUUGCUGCAGCUAACAUAAAGGAGAUUAGUUCUUGUGCUGACUGAUGCAGGAUUCACAAAGACGGCUUCGGCCGACUUUGUAAACUCGAUCUCAAAUCAAGUAAGACUACCCGCUGAACUUAAGCAUAUCAAUAAGCGGAGGA